rnacentral:rRNA from 1 species
GAUGAACGCUGGCGGCGUGCUUAGCACAUGCAAGUCGAACGAGAAGUGGAGACGGAAACCUUCGGGCGGAAGACUUUAUUUCGAGUGGCGGACGGGUGAGUAACGCGUGGGUAACCUGCCUCAUACAGGGGGAUAACAGUUGGAAACGACUGUUAAUACCGCAUAAGACCACAGCACCGCAUGGUGCGGGGGUAAAAACUCCGGUGGUAUGAGAUGGACCCGCGUUCGAUUAGCCAGUUGGCGGGGUAACGGCCCACCAAAGCGACGAUCGAUAGCCGAUCUGAGAGGAUGACCGGCCACAUUGGGACUGAGACACGGCCCAAACUCCUACGGGAGGCAGCAGUGGGGAAUAUUGCACAAUGGGGGAAACCCUGAUGCAGCGACGCCGCGUGAGUGAAGAAGUAUUUCGGUAUGUAAAGCUCUAUCAGCAGGGAAGAAAAUGACGGUACCUGAGUAAGAAGCCCCGGCUAACUACGUG